UACAGAGGGUGCAAGCGUUAAUCGGAUUUACUGGGCGUAAAGCGUGUGUAGGUGGCUCGCUAAGUCGGUUGUGAAAUCCCUGGGCUCAACCUGGGAAUUGCAGUCGAUACUGGCAAGCUAGAGUUCGGUAGAGGACGGCGGAAUUCCCGGUGUAGCGGUGAAAUGCGUAGAUAUCGGGAGGAACAUCGAUGGCGAAAGCAACCGUCUGGGCCUGAACUGACACUGUGACACGAAAGCGUGGGGAGCAAACAGG
rnacentral:rRNA from 1 species